CCUAGAACUUAAAGUAUAAUAAAAAUAAAAAAAAAUUAAAAAAAAAGAAUGUGAUUUAAAUCAAGAAGAGCCACUUCGUUAUGUACCAUGGAAUACAGGUUUUAUUUUAAAAAGAAUAGAUAGAGUAAAACUUGUGUUGUGUCACAAAACAGAAUAGCCACAGGAUCUAAAUUCCCCAAAGAGAUUCCCAUGGUUGAAAUAAAUGUUUAUUUCUGCUCUGUGAAAAAAAAAAAAAUAGAUUUAGCUUUUCGAUCCGCCAUCUGUGGUGGAGCCGCCACCAAAAUGCAGAUUUUCGUGAGAACCCUUACGGGGAAGACCAUCACCCUCGAGGUUGAACCCUCGGAUAUGAUAGAAAAUGUAAAGGCCAAGAUCCAGGAUAAGGAAGGAUCCUCCUGAUCAGCAAAGACUGAUCUUUGCCAGCAAGCAACUGGAAGAUGGACGUACUUUGUCUGACUACAAUAUUCAAAAGGAGUCUACUCUUCAUCUUGUGUUGAGACUUCGUGGUGGUGCUAAGAAAAGGAAGAAGAAGUCUUACACCACUCCCAAGAAGAAUAAGCACAAGAGAAAGAAGGUUAAGCUAGCUGUCCUGAAAUAUUAUAAGGUGGAUGAGAAUGGCAAAAUUAGUCACCUUCGUCGAGAGUGCCCGUCUGAUGAAUGUGGUGCUGGGGUGUUUAUGGCAAGCCACUUUGACAGACAUUAUUGUGGGAAAUGUUGUCUGACUUGUUGCUUCAACAAGCCAGAAGACAAGUAACUGUAUGAGUUAAUAAAAGACACGAACUAACAACAACAAAAAAAAAGAUUUGGUGGUAGUUUCAAACG